UACAGAGGGUGCAAGCGUUGUUCGGAAUCAUUGGGCGUAAAGGGCGUGUAGGCGGUUUGUUAAGUCAUGUGUGAAAUCCCUCGGCUCAACCGGGGAACGACGCAUGAAACUGGCAAGCUAGAGUACCAAAGAGGGGGGUGGAAUUCCCGGUGUAGCGGUGAAAUGCUUAGAUAUCGUCAAGAACACCUAUAGCGAAGGCAGCUUACUAGGCUGUAACUGACGCUGAGGCACGAAGGCCAGGGGAGCAAACGGG
rnacentral:rRNA from 1 species